GCGGACGUGGUGGAAUUGGUAGACACGCUGGUCUUAGAAGCCAGUGCCUUGCGCGUGUGAGUUCAAGUCUCACCGUCCGCA
rnacentral:tRNA from 1 species